rnacentral:rRNA from 1 species
GAUGAACGCUGGCGGCGUGCCUAAUACAUGCAAGUCGAGCGAACGGACGAGAAGCUUGCUUCUCUGAUGUUAGCGGCGGACGGGUGAGUAACACGUGGAUAACCUACCUAUAAGACUGGGAUAACUUCGGGAAACCGGAGCUAAUACCGGAUGAUAUUUUGAACCGCAUGGUUCAAAAGUGAAAGACGGUCUUGCUGUCACUUAUAGAUGGAUCCACGCUGCAUUAGCUAGUUGGUAAGGUAACGGCUUACCAAGGCAACGAUGCAUAGCCGACCUGAGAGGGUGAUCGGCCACACUGGAACUGAGACACGGUCCAGACUCCUACGGGAGGCAGCAGUAGGGAAUCUUCCGCAAUGGGCGAAAGCCUGACGGAGCAACGCCGCGUGAGUGAUGAAGGUCCUCGGAUCGUAAAACUCUGUUAUUAGGGAAGAACAUAUGUGUAAGUAACUGUGCACAUCUUGACGGUACCUAAUCAGAAAGCCACGGCUAACUACGUG